rnacentral:rRNA from 1 species
CCUACGUGAGGCAGCAGUGAGGAAUAUUGGUCAAUGGGCGGGAGCCUGAACCAGCCAAGUCGCGUGAGGGAAGACGGUCCUAUGGAUUGUAAACCUCUUUAGGCGGGGAGCAAUGCCGGGCACGCGUGCCCGGAGGGAGAGUACCCGCAGACUAAGCAGCGGCUAACUCCGUGCCAGCAGCCGCGGUAAUACGGAGGAUGCGAGCGUUAUCCGGAUUUAUUGGGUUUAAAGGGUGCGUAGGUUGUUUUUUAAGUCAGCGGUGAAAGUUUGUGGCUCAACCAUAAAAUUGCCGUUGAAACUGGAAGACUUGAGUGUGUUUGAGGUAGGCGGAAUGCGUGGUGUAGCGGUGAAAUGCAUAGAUAUCACGCAGAACUCCGAUUGCGAAGGCAGCAUACCGGCGCCCGACUGACGCUGAGGCACGAAAGCGUGGGGAUCGAACAGGAUUAGAUACCCCUGUAGUC